UACGAAGGGGGCUAGCGUUGCUCGGAAUGACUGGGCGUAAAGAGUGUGUAGGCGGUGCUCCAAGUCUGUUGUGAAAUCUCCCGGCUCAACUGGGAGGGUGCGGCGGAAACUGGAAUGCUAGAGGAUGGGAGAGGUAAGCGGAAUUCCUGGUGUAGCGGUGAAAUGCGUAGAUAUCAGGAGGAACACCUGUGGUGUAGACAGCUUACUGGACCAUUUCUGACGCUGAGACACGAAAGCGUGGGUAGCAAACAGG
rnacentral:rRNA from 1 species